UGCCUACGGGAGGCAGCAGUGAGGAAUAUUGGUCAAUGGUCGGGAGACUGAACCAGCCAAGCCGCGUGAGGGAUGAAGGUACAGAGUAUCGUAAACCUCUUUUGUCAGGGAACAAAGGCGGGGACGCGUCCCCGGAUGAGUGUACCUGAAGAAAAAGCAUCGGCUAACUUCGUGCCAGCAGCCGCGGUAAUACGAAGGGUGCGAGCGUUGUUCGGAAUUACUGGGCGUAAAGGGAGUGUAGGCGGAUAUGUAAGAUAGCGGUGAAAUGCCGGGGCUCAACCCCGG
rnacentral:rRNA from 1 species